UCUACUUAUAUCAUAAACCCUCACUGUGCACUGAAAUCCAUCUAGAAAAGGCAACAGUCAAUGACGAUUGGCAUUCUAGUUCCACAAAAUGGAAGAGCCAAGCUUUUAAGGAAAGCACAUGUAAAGGAUCCAAAAUGUACUCCCUUGAUGAAAUGUUACCUUAGCACUCCUGCUGAAAAACAUACAGUUCAUUUACAGACUGACAGCUGGUUGAUUCUGCUCUUAUUCAACAUAUACCGUUCCUGGAUCAUUAAGAUCAUGCUUACUAGCAGUGAUUAAUUAUGAUUAAUUUGUAUUACUAUAGUGCCACUAUUCCUUAGAAAUGAUU